AGGAUAGGUGGGAGGCUUUGAAGUGUGGACGCCAGUCUGCAUGGAGCCGGCCUUGAAAUACCACCCUUUAAUGUUUGAUGUUCUAACGUGGACCCGUGAUCCGGGUUGCGGACAGUGUCUGGUGGGUAGUUUGACUGGGGCGGUCUCCUCCUAAAGAGUAACGGAGGAGCACGAAGGUUGGCUAAUCCUGGUCGGACAUCAGGAGGUUAGUGCAAUGGCAUAAGCCAGCUUGACUGCGAGCGUGACGGCGCGAGCAGGUGCGAAAGCAGGUCAUAGUGAUCCGGUGGUUCUGAAUGGAAGGGCCAUCGCUCAACGGAUAAAAGGUACUCCGGGGAUAACAGGCUGAUACCGCCCAAGAGUUCAUAUCGACGGCGGUGUUUGGCACCUCGAUGUCGGCUCAUCACAUCCUGGGGCUGAAGUAGGUCCCAAGGGUAUGGCUGUUCGCCAUUUAAAGUGGUACGCGAGCUGGGUUUAGAACGUCGUGAGACAGUUCGGUCCCUAUCUGCCGUGGGCGCUGGAGAACUGAGGGGGGCUGCUCCUAGUACGAGAGGACCGGAGUGGACGCAUCACUGGUGUUCGGGUUGUCAUGCCAAUGGCACUGCCCGGUAGCUAAAUGCGGAAGAGAUAAGUGCUGAAAGCAUCUAAGCACGAAACUUGCCCCGA
rnacentral:rRNA from 1 species